rnacentral:rRNA from 1 species
UACGUAGGGUGCGAGCGUUAAUCGGAAUUACUGGGCGUAAAGUGUGCGCAGGCGGCCGCGCAAGUCGAGUGUGAAAGCCCCGGGCUUAACUUGGGAAUUGCGCUCGAAACUACGUGGCUAGAGUGUGGCAGAGGGAGGUGGAAUUCCACGUGUAGCGGUGAAAUGCGUAGAGAUGGGGAGGAACACCGAUGGCGAAGGCAGCCAUCUGGGACAACACUGACGCUCAUGCACGAAAGCGUGGGGAGCAAACAGG